AGAGUUUGAUCCUGGCUCAGAUUGAACGCUGGCGGCAGGCCUAACACAUGCAAGUCGAGCGGAUGAGGGGAGCUUGCUCCCUGAUUCAGCGGCGGACGGGUGAGUAAUGCCUAGGAAUCUGCCUGGUAGUGGGGGACAACGUUUCGAAAGGAACGCUAAUACCGCAUACGUCCUACGGGAGAAAGCAGGGGACCUUCGGGCCUUGCGCUAUCAGAUGAGCCUAGGUCGGAUUAGCUAGUUGGUGGGGUAAAGGCUCACCAAGGCGACGAUCCGUAACUGGUCUGAUAUGAUGAUCAGUCACACUGGAACUGAGACACGGUCCAGACUCCUACGGGAGGCAGCAGUGGGGAAUAUUGGACAAUGGGCGAAAGCCUGAUCCAGCCAUGCCGCGUGUGUGAAGAA
rnacentral:rRNA from 1 species